GAUGGCGACCGCUCCGCGACGUUGAGGCCUCGCUGGGCGUUCAGACUCAGGGUGAUGGCAGGAGAGCUGGCUGACAAAAAGGACCGUGAUGCAUCACCUUCCAAGGAGGAAAGGAAGCGAUCACGGACUCCUGACAGAGAGCGGGAUAGAGACCGGGACCGGAAGUCUUCCCCAUCUAAAGAUAGAAAGCGGCAUCGUUCAAGGGAUAGACGUCGAGGAGGCAGCCGUUCUCGCUCUCGUUCCCGUUCCAAAUCUGCAGAAAGAGAACGACGGCACAAAGAACGAGAACGAGAUAAGGAGCGGGAUCGGAAUAAGAAGGACCGAGAUCGAGACAAGGAUGGGCACAGACGGGACAAGGACCGUAAACGAUCCAGCUUAUCUCCUGGUCGAGGAAAAGACUUUAAAUCUCGGAAGGACAGAGACUCUAAGAAGGAUGAAGAGGAUGAACAUGGUGAUAAGAAGCCUAAGGCCCAGCCAUUAUCCCUGGAGGAGCUUCUGGCCAAGAAAAAGGCUGAAGAAGAAGCUGAGGCUAAGCCCAAGUUCCUCUCCAAAGCAGAACGAGAGGCUGAAGCUCUAAAGCGACGGCAGCAGGAGGUGGAAGAGCGGCAGAGGAUGCUUGAAGAAGAGAGGAAGAAAAGGAAACAGUUCCAAGACUUGGGCAGGAAGAUGUUGGGUUCGUUUUUCUACCCCGUGUAGCCCCUAGAUGGAAGAGGAAAGAGUGGGAUGAGAUACAGUGUCUCUUAGGAGAGAUAGAAACCUGUUCACUCUGGAGUUUGGAAAAGGGAAAGAUGGUGGGAGUUUAUGAGAAAACAUUUUUCUGUUAGAUCUCCAUUUACCCCAUAUCAUGAGUCUACCCCUUUUUUCUUCAUUUGGUGUUCCUCGUCUGGAUUCCCUCCAUUCUCUCUCCUCUUUUCUUCCAUGAGCUCUUCUGCAGCUUUGCUUUCUUUGGUCUGCAGAAGAUCCUCAGGAACGGGAACGUCGGGAACGCAGGGAGAGGAUGGAACGGGAGACCAAUGGAAAUGAGGAUGAGGAAGGGCGGCAGAAGAUCCGGGAAGAGAAGGAUAAGAGCAAGGAACUGCAU
rnacentral:sRNA from 1 species